rnacentral:rRNA from 5 species
UAACGUUUCGAAAGGAACGCUAAUACCGCAUACGUCCUACGGGAGAAAGUGGGGGAUCUUCGGACCUCACGCUAUCAGAUGAGCCUAGGUCGGAUUAGCUAGUUGGUGGGGUAAUGGCCCACCAAGGCGACGAUCCGUAACUGGUCUGAGAGGAUGAUCAGUCACACUGGAACUGAGACACGGUCCAGACUCCUACGGGAGGCAGCAGUGGGGAAUAUUGGACAAUGGGCGAAAGCCUGAUCCAGCCAUGCCGCGUGUGUGAAGAAGGUCUUCGGAUUGUAAAGCACUUUAAGUUGGGAGGAAGGGCAGUAAGCGAAUACCUUGCUGUUUUGACGUUACCAACAGAAUAAGCACCGGCUAACUUCGUGCCAGCAGCCGCGGUAAUACGAAGGGUGCAAGCGUUAAUCGGAAUUACUGGGCGUAAAGCGCGCGUAGGUGGUUCAGCAAGUUGGAUGUGAAAGCCCCGGGCUCAACCUGGGAAUUGCAUCCAAAACUACUGAGCUAGAGUACGGUAGAGGGUGGUGGAAUUUCCUGUGUAGCGGUGAAAUGCGUAGAUAUAGGAAGGAAC